AUAAUAUAAUAUAAUACAUAUAUAUAAUUAAGAUUGUCAAAAAUAGUAUGGACAAGGGGAAUAUGAUUGUUUAAUUAAAACAAAUCAUUGCGAUGGUCCCUGCAGAUGCUAACACAAUGCGAUUUAUGCCCAGUGCUCUGCUGUCGAAGUGAAUAAAUUCAACCAAGUGUGGGUAAAGGGUGAGAGUAAAUAUGUCUCUCUUAAGGUAUCCAUAUUCCUUGUCAUCUAAUUAGUGAUGCGCAUGAAUGAAUUAAUGAGAUUCCAAUUGUCCACUAUCUAGAGAAACCACAACCAAGGGAACAUGCUUGGCAUAAUUAGCAAGGAAAAAAGACCUUGUUGAGCCUGACUCUAGUCCAACUUUGUGAAAUGACUUGAGAGGUGUAGAAUAAGUGGGAGUCAUUUUCAACGCAAGUGAUAUACCACUACUUUUAACGUUAUUUUACUUAUUUCAUGGGGAAGAGAUGGGGCAUUGUGCAUAUGUUAAAAUAUAACACACAUUUCAUCAAAGUGUUGUCAUUGAUGGCAAUGGUCAAGAGCUCAUUCGUCACGCACUUGAUGGAAAUGAGUUUAGGAAACAAACACAAAUUGAAAAAAUUUCAACAUUGGCACAUGGUAUAUGGUUGAUAUGCAUGAUUUAUUACCCCCACUUGACCAUAGAAAGUGCCUUAAGACACCCAUCCCCUAUGC
rnacentral:ncRNA from 1 species